rnacentral:rRNA from 1 species
CCCUGCUUUUGUGGGGUGCUCGAGUGGCGAACGGGUGGGUAACACGUGAGUAACCUGCCCUUGACUUUGGGAUAACUUCAGGAAACUGGGGCUAAUACCGGAUAGGAGCUCCUGCUGCAUGGUGGGGGUUGGAAAGUUUCGGCGGUUGGGGAUGGACUCGCGGCUUAUCAGCUUGUUGGUGGGGUAGUGGCUUACCAAGGCUUUGACGGGUAGCCGGCCUGAGAGGGUGACCGGCCACAUUGGGACUGAGAUACGGCCCAGACUCCUACGGGAGGCAGCAGUGGGGAAUAUUGCACAAUGGGCGGAAGCCUGAUGCAGCAACGCCGCGUGCGGGAUGACGGCCUUCGGGUUGUAAACCGCUUUCGCCUGUGACGAAGCGUGAGUGACGGUAAUGGGUAAAGAAGCACCGGCUAACUACGUGCCAGCAGCCGCGGUGAUACGUAGGGUGCGAGCGUUGUCCGGAUUUAUUGGGCGUAAAGGGCUCGUAGGUGGUUGAUCGCGUCGGAAGUGUAAUCUUGGGGCUUAACCCUGAGCGUGCUUUCGAUACGGGUUGACUUGAGGAAGGUAGGGGAGAAUGGAAUUCCUGGUGGAGCGGUGGAAUGCGCAGAUAUCAGGAGGAACACCAGUGGCGAAGGCGGUUCUCUGGGCCUUUCCUGACGCUGAGGAGCGAAAGCGUGGGGAGCGAACAGGCUUAGAUACCCUGGUAGUCCACGCUGUAAACGGUGGGUACUAGGUGUGGGGUCCAUUCCACGGGUUCCGUGCCGUAGCUAACGCUUUAAGUACCCCGCCUGGGGAGUACGGCCGCAAGGCUAAAACUCAAAGGAAUUGACGGGGCCCCGCACAAGCGGCGGAGCAUGCGGAUUAAUUCGAUGCAACGCGUAGAACCUUACCUGGGUUUGACAUGGAUCGGGAGCGCUCAGAGAUGGGUGUGCCUCUUUUGGGGUCGGUCCACAGGUGGUGCAUGGCUGUCGUCAGCUCGUGUCGUGAGAUGUUGGGUUAAGUCCCGCAACGAGCGCAACCCUUGUUCACUGUUGCCAGCACGUUAUGGUGGGGACUCAGUGGAGACCGCCGGGGUCAAC